AAGUGCCUUAUAACAUGUCUUUAUAACUGGCUGUGUAAGAAUGAAGAAAAGCUGUCCAUCUUCUGAGAAGGAAGCAGCAUGUGCCAUCCUUCUGUCAGAAAACACCAAAGAGAUGAAGAAAUGAGAAAUCCAGAAACCAAAGACCUUGCUCUUUUGUCAAACAGACUUGGUAGAGCAGAGUUGCAAAAUCAGACCUUUGGGGGCUUGCGUGUUUCUCCUCUUACUCCCUGGUAAGCCCUGCCUUGAACUUCAGGCUGCCUGGCUUGGAUCCUGAUGCUGCUUUGCUGACACAAUCCAUUCUCCCAGGGAACACCCAGAGUUCCACUCCAGCCCUGGCAACGCUGCAGCAGAGUAGGCCAACUGUACGGAAAGUCUACAUUGGCUCGGAACAAUUGAGGCUGGGAGAGGGUAUCACAGCAAUUUCCCCACAUCCAUUCCAGCUGGUGAUUUCCUGCUUGGUCGUCUUUUAAAACCCAGCCAUCUGAAUCCGAGAGUUGCUUCUUCAGCAAGGCCUCCCCUGACUCCUUCAGAUGUCUAAGCACCACCCCUACUCUUCUGCUGCAGCAUCUCCACUUGCUUUUGUCCUUCAUCUCCCUGAAAUUAUUUGCUUACUCAUCCAUCCAUGUCAGUUGCAAAAGCAUGACUUCCUCUAGUCCAAAGGCCAUUCAUGUUCAAUAUGUUAGCACUCGGAGCGUCUCCAGUGGUUGUUUCAAACAAGGCAAAUGAGUUCAGUUGAACUUUAUAUGUUCUGCCCUCCGACUGUGACUGUUAUUUACUUCCCUCCAAACAAAAUGUAAUAAUAAAAUGACUAACUGAA
rnacentral:lncRNA from 1 species